rnacentral:rRNA from 1 species
ACGUGCCAGCAGCCGCGGUAAUACGUAGGGCGCAAGCGUUGUCCGGAAUUAUUGGGCGUAAAGAGCUCGCACGCGGUUUGUCGCGUCUGCUGUGAAAACCUCAGGCUCAACCUGGGGCUUGCAGUGGGUACGGGCAGACUAGAGUGCGGUAGGGGAGACUGGAAUUCCUGGUGUAGCGGUGGAAUGCGCAGAUAUCAGGAGGAACACCGAUGGCGAAGGCAGGUCUCUGGGCCGCAACUGACGCUGAGGAGCGAAAGCAUGGGGAGCGAACAGGAUUAGAUACCCUGGUAGUCCAUGCCGUAAACGUUGGGCACUAGGUGUGGGGCUCAUUCCACGAGUUCCGUGCCGCAGCAAACGCAUUAAGUGCCCCGCCUGGGGAGUACGGCCGCAAGGCUAAAACUCAAAUGAAUUGACGGGG